rnacentral:misc_RNA from 1 species
UGCGGAGGAUCAUUACUGAACUGUCGACACGAGUUGUUGCUGGUCCUCAAUGGGGGCAUGUGCACACUCUGUUUACACACCCACUCACACCUGUGCACCCUCUGUAGUUCUGUGGUGUGGGGGACCUUGUCCUCCCGCCGUGGUUCUAUGUCUUUACACACACUCGGUGAUAAAGUCUUAUGGAAUGUAUGUAGCGUUUAACGCAAUAAAAUACAACUUUCAGCAACGGAUCUCUUGGCUCUCGCAUCGAUGAAGAACGCAGCGAAAUGCGAUAAGUAAUGUGAAUUGCAGAAUUCAGUGAAUCAUCGAAUCUUUGAACGCACCUUGCGCCCUUUGGCUAUUCCGAAGGGCAUGCCUGUUUGAGUAUCAUGAACACCUCAACUCUCAUGGUUUGCCAUGAUGAGCUUGGACUUUGGGGGUCUUGCCGGCCUAUGGUCGGCUCCUCUCAAAUGAAUCAGCUUGCCAGUGUUUGGUGGGAUCACGGGUGUGAUAACUAUCUACGCUUGUGGCCUUCUGCCAAGUAACCUUCAGCGAUGGAGGUUCGCUGGGGCUCAUAAAUGUCUCUCCUCAGCGAGGACAGCUCUUUUGAACGUUUGAUCUCAAAUCAGGUAGGANUACCCGCUGAACUUA